rnacentral:lncRNA from 1 species
UCAUCCCGUUAACAUAUUCAUCAACACAUUCAACGAAAUGCCACAAAAACAUAAUUUGGUGGAAUGAAAUCUCAACGACAACAUGAAAAUUUAAUCAACAACAACAUGAAAAUUUCAUGAUGCUUUUGAUAAAAACAUUAUUCUUUUGACAGAAACAUUAUUCUUUUGUCAACAACAACAUGAAUUCAAAAUCAACAACAACAAUCAAAACUGAAACCUAAAUCAACAAGAACAACUGAAACUGAAAGUAAAAUCGAAAUCAACAACAAAAAUUGGAAAAAA